GUCUGAUANUGCMAGGCCGCGUGAACGAAGAAUCGCCUUCGGGGUGUAAAGUUCUUUUAUAUGUGAGCAAUGCUUUUUAUGUGAAUAGCAUGAGAAGAGAGAUAUUAGCAUAUGAAUAAGCAACGGCUAACUCCGUGCCAGCAGCCGCGGUAACACGGGGGUUGCAAGCGUUGUCCGGAAUUACUAGGCGUAAAGGGCAGGUAGGCGGAUCCAUAAGUUUGAUGUUAAAGGCAGCGGCUCACCCGCUGUAGGGCAUUAGAUACUGUGGAUCUGGAAUGCGGUUGGGGAAGACAGAAUUCCUGGUGUAGCGGUGGAAUGCGCAGAGAUCAGGAGGAAUACCAAAGGCGAAGGCAGUCUUCUAAGCCGUUAUUGACGCUAAACUGCGAAGGUGUGGGUAUCAAACAG
rnacentral:rRNA from 1 species